UUGUCAACAGAACAGCUGAUUUCUCAUGUUUACAAUUUUCGGCAGCUGGUGGUAGGGUAAAAAUAACAACAACACUACGCAUGUUCAAUGGUCGGAUAGUAACGAAACCAAAUUGGCGGUGCAAAAGUAAUGGUUAUGCAAAAUUCUUAAUUUUUUAAACUACCUUAAACUAAAUAAUUGUAGACAUGAAAUACUUUGAAGGUAAUGUUGAUGUUAUGUAAUGUUAAUUUGAAAAAAUAAUUUCUUUUGAAGAAAUAAUUGAACAGUGCUAGCCUCCCAAGUUCAAAAUGGCGACCAGUAGGUGUUUACAUUUUUCAAAACAAAAACAAAAAGCUACCCUACCACUAUCUGUCUCAGGAAAUGCUCUAUACGCGAAAAAUCGUCGCGAGUGAAAUUCUGCUGCCCCGGGGAAAAGUCGGGAGAAAAAAGGAAAAGAAGGAGCCAAAAAGCUUCGGAAAGUAAAAGCCAAAACUUGGCAAACACCAGACUUGGGCAGACCGCACCACGUGCAUCUUUGCACCCGCCAUCCGACAGCAAAUUCGGCUCUGUGUCGGCAAAAAGGGCAAAUUCAGCCGGGAAAUUCGGCUUGAGAGGGGUCGAGGCGAGGAAAAGAUCUUUAAAAAGGUCGCUCAGGCAAGUAAAUACUUUUGUAGAGUAUGUUUGAUUACACUAAUACCGGUGCAACACGCACAGGCGGCCUUUUUUUUUCUCAUAUCAACUCCCCCAUCUCGCUGGUACCGUCGGAGACUUUCCCCAGGGCCGGCAAGCAACAGGUCCACGCAUCCAAUCGGCUCCAAUCUGCGUUCCAUCGCCGCACUGCUAGCGAAGAAAUCCCGGCGAACUCGGGCCAAAACCAUUCGCUCUGCGUCGGCGCGCCAGUAGCGCAAGGAUUUCGGGGAUACCGCUGCCGAUCCGGACGGGAUCGCAUCGCCGCAGCGAGGAGCAUCCGAAGCAGCCACCGAAGCUCCUUGCCGCAUCUGUGGCGUAACCUCCGGGAAUCGCCGCCGAAGAAAAGGGCCUCUGACCGCCGAAGCAGCCACCGAAGCUCCUUGCCGCAUCUGUGGCGUAACCUCCGGGAAUCGCCGCCGAAGAAAAGGGCCUCUGACCGCCGAAGCAGCCACCGAAGCUCCUUGUCGCAUCUGUGGCAUAACCUCCGGGAAUCGCCGCCGAAAAAAAGGGCCUCUGACCGCCGAAGCAGCCACCGAAGCUCCUUGCCGCAUCUGUGGCGUAACCUCCGGGAAUCGCCGCCGGAGAAAAGGGCCUCUGACCGGGCGCAGCAGCCGCCGAGAUUCCUCGCCGCAUCUGUGGCGCGACCACAGCCGGAGCAAGGGUCCUCAGACCGCCGCAGCAGGCGAUCAUCGGGCGCAGCAGCCGCCGAGAUUCCUCGCCGCAUCUGUGGCGCGACCACAGCCGGAGCAAGGGUCCUCAGACCGCCGCAGCAGGCGAUCAUCGGGCGCAGCAGCCGCCGAGAUUCCUCGCCGCAUCUGUGGCGUGACCGCCGCCAAAGCAAAAGGCCUCUGACCGCCGCAGCAGGCGAUCAUCGGGCGCAGCAGCCGCCGAGAUUCCUCGCCGCAUCUGUGGCGUGACCACCGCCGAAGCAAAAAGCCUCUGACCGCCGCAGCAGGCGAUCAUCGGGCGCAGCAGCCGCCGAGAUUCCUCGCCGCAUCUGUGGCGUGACCACUGCCGAAGUAAAGGGUCCUCUGACCGCCGCAGCAGGCGAUCAUCGGGCGCAGCAGCCGCCGAGGUUCCUCGCCGCACCUGUGGCGUGACCACAGCCGAAGCAAGGAUCCUUUGACCGCCGCAGCAAGGCGAUUAUCGGGUGCAGCAGCCGCCAAAGUUCCUCGCCGCAUCCGCGGCGUUACAGCUGGAAGCCACCGCCGAAGCAAAGAGCCUCUGACCGCCACAGCAGGCGAUUAUCGGGUGCAGCAUCCACAGCAAAUUUCGUCGCCGCAUCAGAGGCGAGAGACAUCGGAAGUCCAGGCCGAGGAGGAAGCAUGUUGCAACCUUGUGAAACGAAAAAAGUGAUUGUCUCUGUAAACGCAGAUAUUCCAUUAAACUUUACGUCGACAACGAUAAGAACAAAACAUUAACGUUCAUGUGAAAAGGUGAUGGUAUCUGGAAUGGUGAUAGAAUGGUAUGAACGAUUUACUGCAAUUUUUCUUUAAUCGUAAAAAUAAUCUCAAACCUUUACUCAUACCGUCCAUUCUUUCUGUCAUACGCACUCAAAAAACGAACGAAACGCCGGUCAAGGAUGCCAGAUGGUUUUACACGGUAAUCAGUAAAAUAAGUACAACAUCUAAGGCC